rnacentral:rRNA from 1 species
UACGUAGGGUGCGAGCGUUAAUCGGAAUUACUGGGCGUAAAGCGUGCGCAGGCGGUUUUGUAAGCCAGAUGUGAAAUCCCCGGGCUUAACCUGGGAAUGGCAUUUGGGACUGCAAGGCUGGAGUGCGGCAGAGGAGACUGGAAAUUUCCUGGUGUAGCAGUGAAAAUGCGUAGAUAUCAGGAGGAAUACCGAUGGCGAAGGCAGGUCUCUGGGCUGACACUGC